rnacentral:rRNA from 1 species
UAUUUUGACUAUACAAAGGUAUUGAAAUAAGGUUUUAAAUGGAUGCUAAGAGAAUGAUUGAACAAAGAUUUUCUUUCUUAAGGAAAAUAAUAGAAGUUGGUUUUUAAGUGAAAAAACUUGAAUUUUAUUUUGGGACAAGAAGACCCUAUGAAUUUUUUAUUAAAUUGAAGCUUGAUUGAAAGUUUUUUUUUAAUUUGGUUGGGGUGAUUUUUAAAGAUUGGGAAUCUUUAAAUUCAAAAAUUGAUCCAUUAUUAGUGAUUAUUUGAAAGAAAUACUCUAGGGAUAACAGCGUUAUUAUUUUGGAUAGUUCAUAUUGAUAAAAUUGAUUGCGACCUCGAUGUUGGAUUAGGAUGCUUUUUUAAUGAAGACGUUAUAAAAAGAAGUUUGCUCAACUUUUAAUAUCCU